rnacentral:rRNA from 1 species
GACGAACGCUGGCGGCGUGCUUAACACAUGCAAGUCGAACGGAAAGGCCCUGCUUUUGUGGGGUGCUCGAGUGGCGAACGGGUGAGUAACACGUGAGUAACCUGCCCUUGACUUUGGGAUAACUUCAGGAAACUGGGGCUAAUACCGGAUAGGAGCUCCUGCUGCAUGGUGGGGGUCGGAAAGUUUCGGCGGUUGGGGAUGGACUCGCGGCUUAUCAGCUUGUUGGUGGGGUAGUGGCUUACCAAGGCUUUGACGGGUAGCCGGCCUGAGAGGGUGACCGGGGACAAUAGGACUGAGGUACGGCGCAGUCGGCUACGGGAGGCAGCAGGGGAGAAUCUUGCGCAGUGGGGGGAAGCCUGAGGCAGCGACGUCGCGUGCGGGAUGACGGCUUUCGGGUUGUAAACCGCUUUCGCCUGUGACGAAGCGUGAGUGACGGUAAUGGGUAAAGAAGCACCGGCUAACUACGUG